rnacentral:lncRNA from 1 species
GACCUACAUGUAUGUUGUGACAUACGUGUCUAUGAUUACUAGUGACACAGAUUAUCGAAUACAACAAAAUUAUGGUUCGAUUUAGAAAUAUAGCAAUUGCUACAUUUUUCAUAUCUACUCUGUUGUCGUGUAGCUGUUCACAGACUAAGCGACUCCUAGACGAACAGUUAACAGUUGAAUCCAGGAUGCACCAAUUUGAAGUGGAGAUACAGAAUCUAAAAGCCAAGCUUGCUGAAAAAGACACGCAGGU